GAUGAACGCUGGCGGCGUGCCUAAUACAUGCAAGUCGAGCGAACAGACGAGGAGCUUGCUCCUCUGACGUUAGCGGCGGACGGGUGAGUAACACGUGGAUAACCUACCUAUAAGACUGGGAUAACUUCGGGAAACCGGAGCUAAUACCGGAUAAUAUAUUGAACCGCAUGGUUCAAUAGUGAAAGACGGUUUUGCUGUCACUUUUAGAUGGAUCCGCGCCGCAUUAGCUAGUUGGUAAGGUAACGGCUUACCAAGGCAACGAUGCGUAGCCGACCUGAGAGGGUGAUCGGCCACACUGGAACUGAGACACGGUCCAGACUCCUACGGGAGGCAGCAGUAGGGAAUCUUCCGCAAAGGGCGAAAGCUUGACGGAGCAACGCCGCGUGAGUGAUGAAGGUCUUCGGAUCGUAAAACUCUGUUAUUAGGGAAGAACAAAUGUGUAAGUAACUAUGCACGUCUUGACGGUACCUAAUCAGAAAGCCACGGCUAACUACGUG
rnacentral:rRNA from 1 species